rnacentral:lncRNA from 1 species
AGAAUCGCUUGAACCUGGAAGGUGGUGGUUGCAGUGAGCCGAGAUUGUGCCACUGCACUCCAGCCUGGGCAAGAGAGCGAGACUCCGUCUCAAAAAAAAAAAAAAAAACCAACAAACCAACAAACAAAAAAAAGUAAGAAUUAGAAAGGAAACACAAAGUCAUUGAUUAGUCAGAAUUAUGCCUCAAGUACACACAUAAAUCUGUGCAUUUACAUGUUUACUCUUAGCUGUUCAUACUUGAUUUGCAUAUAGUUAUAGCAGAUCAAGAAGUCACAAACUUGAAAGAGAAAGAGUUGCUGCUGUGGAUGGAUCCAUAAACAAUGGUCUAAAAUUGGCCUAGGCCGGGCGCAGUGGCUCAUGCCUGUAAUCCCAGCACUUUGGGAGGCCAAGUUGGGAAGAUUGCUUGAGCCCGGGAGUUUGAGACCAGCCUGGGCAACACAGCAAGACCCCAUCUCUACAGUAUCAGUUUUUAAAAAUUAGCCUAAAGUCAAGAUAGGAAAGAAGGAAAUCUACCAAAAAUGGUCAUGGGAACUCAAAAAGUCAGCUGUGAGUUAGUGUGGAGGAUAAAUGGCCUUGUGUAACUCAAUCACUUUUGUAUUGACAUCACUGCAUGACCACAUGGUACAAAACAAAUCAUGGAACUGCAGAACAUGUGAAUUAGAUGAACAGUAUUGUCAGGCCAACCUCUGCAAGGUGUGUGUGUGUGCCUGUAAUCCCAGCUACUUCGGAGGCUGAGACAAGAGAAUUGUUUGAACCUGAGAGGCGGAGGUUGCAGUGAGCUGAGAUCAUGCCACUGUACUCUAGCCUGGGUGAUAGAGCAAGACUCUGUCUCAAAAAGAAAAGAAACUUGCUCCAGGUUGCACAGAUAGCCAGGCAGUGUGAGCGUGGGAGCCCGGAUCUCAAACCUAACUGGUCGGGGCUCUCUCUACCUCUCCACCCAGGACUCAGAACUGAGACCCCAAAUUUCCAAGAAAAGGGCAAAUUCUGUUCUAAGUAUCUUAUCUGAGACAGUAGGGGUAUGUGUAGUUGCCUUUGGGAAGAUUUCCACCAGAAAUGAUGCUAACAAAGAAAAGAUUGGGAGCAUAAAAGGGUCCUACAUGCACUGUUGCCCAUAAAUACAUAUCCCAGGUAUCUAGCUGACCCCCAGGAUGCCAGCAACAAAGGUUAUCCUAUGGUAGAAAGAAAUGGCCCCUUCCUUCAAGAAGCCCACGCAACCUUGGAGGGUCAGGGCAGGUGACCUGACUCACACCCAGGCAGAGGCCAACCAGGCCAUGAGAACCCAAGGGUGGGGCCACAGGGAGGCCUUCUGCCAGGACAGGCUGUGAUUCCCUGAAAUGUGCCAGGGGAGCGUGCGGAACAUCUUGUCAGAUAUAUAAAUAUCAGGCAGGCUU